rnacentral:misc_RNA from 1 species
CUGACUAAGUAACGUGUAGCCAAUGAUGCCGUGUUUUCUUUAAACCGGAAGAAAACAAGCGCACGAGGUUACACAAGAGUUGCACAUGCUGUGGGUGAAUUGACUUACGGUCGGCCAAGACAAGUGUUCUCGACAUGCCUGUAAAGUGUUCAUCUUGUAAAAAAGCAGCGAUUUUGAAAAGACCCAAAACAGGAGAUGCGCUGUGCAAGGAGUGUUUCUUCUCAGCCUUUGAGGAGGAAGUCCACCACACCAUCACGUCUGCUGGGCUGUUCACUCCAGGGGAGACAAUCGCUGUGGGAGCAUCUGGUGGAAAGGACUCCACUGUACUGGCUUAUGUCCUUAAACUACUCAACCAGCGAUACAACUACAACGUUCAGCUGAUCCUGCUGUCUGUAGAUGAGGGGAUCACAGGGUACAGAGAUGACUCACUGGAGACGGUGAAGAGGAACCAGCAGCAGUAUGACCUGCCACUGAAGAUCGUCUCAUACGAGGAACUCUAUGGAUGGACGAUGGAUGCAAUUGUCAAGCAGAUUGGCCUCAAGAACAACUGUACAUUUUGCGGAGUGUUUCGACGCCAGGCUUUGGACAGAGGUGCCAUGAUACUCAAGGUGGACAAGAUUGUGACAGGCCACAAUGCUGAUGACAUAGCAGAGACAGUGAUUAUGAAUGUUUUACGUGGAGACAUUGCAAGGUUGCGCAGAUGUACAGCUAUUACAACUGGCAUGGAUGGAGCUUUGCCCAGGUGUAAGCCAUUUAAAUACACCUAUGAGAAGGAGAUUGUCAUGUACGCCUACUUUAAGAAACUGGACUACUUCUCUACAGAGUGUAUCUAUUCCCCCAAUGCCUACAGGGGAUUUGCUCGUGCAUUCAUUAAGGACCUUGAGAAGAUCCGUCCCAGUGCUAUCAUAGACAUCAUCCAUUCAGGGGAGAGUCUAUCUGUGAAGAAGGAGGUUAGAAUGCCAGUGCAAGGUCUGUGUUCUCGCUGUGGCUGCAUGUCCAGCAACCCAGUGUGUAAAGCCUGUGUGCUUCUGGAAGGACUCAACAGAGGACUGCCACGGCAGGUCUGUGUUCUCGCUGUGGCUACAUGUCCAGCAACCCAGUGUGUAAAGCCUGCGUGCUUCUGGAGGGACUCAACAGAGGACUGCCACGGUAGGUCUGUGUUCUCGCUGUGGCUACAUGUCCAGCAACCCAGUGUGUAAAGCCUGUGUGCUUCUGGAAGGACUUAACAGAGGACUGCCAUGACUCGGUAUUGGCAAGGAGCACAAAGAAAGGAGGAAGCUGGCAGACAAGCUGGCUCGAGAAGAAUCU